UACGUAGGGCGCAAGCGUUGUCCGGAAUUAUUGGGCGUAAAGAGCUCGUAGGCGGCCUGUUACGUCUGCUGUGAAAUCCCGGGGCUUAACCCCGGGCGUGCAGUGGAUACGGGCAGGCUGGAGGCAGGCAGGGGAGAACGGAAUUCCCGGUGGUAGCGGUGAAAGUGCGCAGAUAUCGGGAGGAACACCGGUGGCGAAGGCGGUUCUCUGGGCCUGUACUGACGCUGAGGAGCGAAAGCGUGGGGAGCGAACAGGG
rnacentral:rRNA from 1 species